UACGAGGGGUGCAAGCGUUGCUCGGAAUUAUUGGGCGUAAAGGGCUCGUAGGCGGUCUGUUGCGUCGGGAGUGAAAACUUACAGCUUAACUGUGAGCGUGCUUUCGAUACGGGCAGACUUGAGGCAUUCAGGGGAGAACGGAAUUCCUGGUGUAGCGGUGGAAUGCGCAGAUAUCAGGAGGAACACCGAUGGCGAAGGCAGCUCGCUGGGACGGUACUGACGCUGAGGCGCGAAAGCGUGGGAGCGAACAGG
rnacentral:rRNA from 1 species